UACGGAGGGGGCUAGCGUUGUUCGGAAUUACUGGGCGUAAAGCGCACGUAGGCGGCUUUGUAAGUUAGAAGUGAAAGCCCAGGGCUUAACCCUGGAAUUGCCUUUAAGACUGCAUCGCUAGAAUCGUGGAGAGGUGAGUGGAAUUCCGAGUGUAGAGGUGAAAUUCGUAGAUAUUCGGAAGAACACCAGUGGCGAAGGCGACUCACUGGACACGUAUUGACGCUGAGGUGCGAAAGCGUGGGGAGCAAACAGG
rnacentral:rRNA from 1 species